rnacentral:rRNA from 1 species
GAUCAACGCUGGCGGCGUGCCUAAUACAUGCAAGUCGAGCGAACAGACGAGGAGCUUGCUCCUCUGACGUUAGCGGCGGACGGGUGAGUAACACGUGGAUAACCUACCUAUAAGACUGGGAUAACUUCGGGAAACCGGAGCUAAUACCGGAUAAUAUAUUGAACCGCAUGGUUCAAUAGUGAAAGACGGUUUUGCUGUCACUUAUAGAUGGAUCCGCGCCGCAUUAGCUAGUUGGUAAGGUAACGGCUUACCAAGGCAACGAUGCGUAGCCGACCUGAGAGGGUGAUCGGCCACACUGGAACUGAGACACGGUCCAGACUCCUACGGGAGGCAGCAGUAGGGAAUCUUCCGCAAUGGGCGAAAGCCUGAUGGAGCAACGCCGCGUGAGUGAUGAAGGUCUUCGGAUCGUAAAACUCUGUUAUUAGGGAAGAACAAAUGUGUAAGUAACUAUGCACGUCUUGACGGUACCUAAUCAGAAAGCCACGGCUAACUACGUG